GUCUCUGUGCCGUAAUCGGUUAGCGCCUUCGGCUGGUAACCGAAAGGUUGGUGGUUCAAGCCCACCCAGGGACG
rnacentral:tRNA from 2 species